GGUUUUACAUACAAAUUUUUAUCAUUGUUUAUUAUGACUGUUUUGUAUUGUGCAAUUUUUUGUCAGGGUAUAAUCAGUGUUUACUUAAUAGUCAGAGCCACUCUUCUUUAUAGACCUUGGUUAAUUGAAUGCAAUCAGUUAAAACCGUCAUUCAACAUACUGAAUAUAAGUUGAAAACCCAUCAAGAUAAGUUCAUGCAUGUAUCUUUGAGGUGCUAGCUCAUACAAAAGGGGAGAAGGAAAGCGUGUAAGUAUGAUCGUUUCCUUUUGAAGCUAGUGAUCUGACUGUUUUCACAAUCGAAGAGGAAACUGCUAUAUGCAUAGUGAUGAUAGUUUGUUUCCGGUGACCUGUUGUUUAGUUUCAUGCGAUGUUUCAUUAUUUGAAAGAAACUGUAAUCUCGUGGAGGAUUGCAAUCUCUAGCUUCAAAAUGCAAUUCUAGAUUCUUUGGGAGCUGUUCUGA